UACGUAGGGUGCAAGCGUUGUCCGGAAUUAUUGGGCGUAAAGAGCUCGUAGGCGGUCUGUCGCGUCUGGUGUGAAAACUCAAGGCUUAACCUUGGGCCUGCAUCGGGUACGGGCAGACUAGAGUGCGGUAGGGGAGACUGGAAUUCCUGGUGUAGCGGUGAAAUGCGCAGAUAUCAGGAGGAACACCGGUGGCGAAGGCGGUUCUCUGGGCCUUACCUGACACUGAGGAGCGAAAGCGUGGGGAGCGAACAGG
rnacentral:rRNA from 1 species